rnacentral:rRNA from 1 species
CAUGCAAGUCGAACGGAAAGGCCCUUCGGGGUACUCGAGUGGCGAACGGGUGAGUAACACGUGGGUGAUCUGCCCUGCACUUUGGGAUAAGCCUGGGAAACUGGGUCUAAUACCGAAUAUGACCAUGCGCCUCCUGGUGUGUGGUGGAAAGCUUUUGCGGUGUGGGAUGGGCCCGCGGCCUAUCAGCUUGUUGGUGGGGUAAUGGCCUACCAAGGCGACGACGGGUAGCCGGCCUGAGAGGGUGACCGGCCACACUGGGACUGAGAUACGGCCCAGACUCCUACGGGAGGCAGCAGUGGGGAAUAUUGCACAAUGGGCGCAAGCCUGAUGCAGCGACGCCGCGUGAGGGAUGACGGCCUUCGGGUUGUAAACCUCUUUCAGCACAGACGAAGCGCAAGUGACGGUAUGUGCAGAAGAAGGACCGGCCAACUACGUGCCAGCAGCCGCGGUAAUACGUAGGGUCCGAGCGUUGUCCGGAAUUACUGGGCGUAAAGAGCUCGUAGGUGGUUUGUCGCGUUGUUCGUGAAAACUCACA